AUCUGGUUGAUCUUGCCAGCAGUGAUAUGCUUGUCUCAAAGACUAAGCCAUGCAUGUGUCAGUAUAUAUUUUGCAUUAGAAAACUGCGGAAAGCUCAUUAGAAAAGUGUAAAUGAAAAGUCAUAAUAAUAAUAUGCAUACCUUCUGUAAUUCUGAGGCUAAUGGAUGCAGGCGAUAAGGCAGUUCCAAAACAUGCACAUGAUGAGUUGAAAUAUCACCAAUUUAUUGGGAAUAUGUGCAAUACAAUUAUGUAAGCUGUUGCUUGUCACAUAGGCGAUUAUAUUCUUACCUAUCAGCUUGCGAUGAUACGCUAGUAACGUAUUAUGGCUGUUACGGGUGGCGAAGAAUUAGGGUUUGAUCUCGGAGAGGACGCUUGAGAAAUAGCGGCUACAUCUAAGGAAGGCAGCAGGCGCGUAAAUUACCCAAUCUUGACACAAGGAGGUAGUGACAAGAAAUAACUGUGUGUGGCUCUAUGCUGCACAUCCGGAAUGUGUGACAGGUUAAGCGUGUUGCGAGUAGCUAUUGGAGGGCAAGUCUGGUGCCAGCAGCCGCGGUAAUUCCAGCUCCAAUAGC
rnacentral:rRNA from 11 species